AUUGAACGCUGGCGGCAUGCCUUACACAUGCAAGUCGAACGGCAGCACGGGUGCUUGCCUCUGCUGGCGAUUGGCGCACGGGUGAGUAAUACAUCGGAACAUGUCCCGUAGUGGGGGAUAGUACGGUGGAAGCCGCAUUAAUACCGCAUACGAUUUACGGAAGAAAGCGGGUGCCAUUCGGGCCUCGGGCUUUGGGGUUGGUCGUAGGCUGAUUAGCUAGUUGGUGGGGUAAAGGCCUACCAAGGCAACGAUCAGUAGCUGAUCUGAGAGGGCGAUCAGCCACACUGGAACUGAGACACGGCCCAGACUCCUACGGGAGGCAGCAGUGGGGAAUUUUGGGCAAUGGGCGAAAGCCUGAUCCAGCAAUGCCGCGUGUGUGAAGAAGGCCUUCGGAUUGUAAAGCACUUUUGUCCGGAAAGAAAAACUUGGCACGAAAACGGGCGGGGGAUGACGGUACCGGAAGAGUAAGCACCGGCUAACUACGUG
rnacentral:rRNA from 1 species